rnacentral:rRNA from 1 species
GCGUAAGAGUCCGUAGGUAGUCAUCCAAGUCUGCUGUUAAAGAGCGAGGCUUAACCUCGUAAAGGCAGUGGAAACUGGAAGACUGGAGUGUAGUAGGGGCAGAGGGAAUUCCUGGUGUAGCGGUGAAAUGCGUAGAGAUCAGGAAGAACACCGGUGGCGAAGGCGCUCUGCUGGGCUAUAACUGACACUGAGGGACGAAAGCUAGGGGAGCGAAUGGGAUUAGAUACCCCAGUAGUCCUAGCGGUAAACGAUGGAAACUAGGUGUGGCCUGUAUCGACCCGGGCCGUGCCGAAGCAAACGCGUUAAGUUUCCCGCCUGGGGAGUACGCACGCAAGUGUGAAACUCAAAGGAAUUGACGGGGGCCCGCACAAGCGGUGGAGUAUGUGGUUUAAUUCGAUGCAACGCGAAGAACCUUACCAGGACUUGACAUCUCUGGAAUCUCCUUGAAAGGGGAGAGUGCCGUAAGGAACCAGAAGACAGGUGCUGCAUGGCUGUCGUCAGCUCGUGUCGUGAGAUGUUGGGUUAAGUCCCGCAACGAGCGCAACCCUCGUUCUGUGUUACCAGCAUUAAGUUGGGGACUCACAGGAGACUGCCGGGGUCAACUCGGAGGAAGGUGGGGAUGACGUCAAAUCAUCAUGCCCCUUAUGUCUUGGGCUGCACGCAUGCUACAAUGGCCGGUACAAAGUGCUGCGAGAUCGUAAGAUUGAGCGAAUCACAUAAAGCCGGUCUCAGUUCGGAUUGAGGUCUGCA